UUAAGCGACUAAGCGUACACGGUGGAUGCCCUGGCAGUCAGAGGCGAUGAAGGACGUGCUAAUCUGCGAUAAGCGUCGGUAAGGUGAUAUGAACCGUUAUAACCGGCGAUUUCCGAAUGGGGAAACCCAGUGUGAUUCGUCACACUAUCAUUAACUGAAUCCAUAGGUUAAUGAGGCGAACCGGGGGAACUGAAACAUCUAAGUACCCCGAGGAAAAGAAAUCAACCGAGAUUCCCCCAGUAGCGGCGAGCGAACGGGGAGCAGCCCAGAGCCUGAAUCAGUGUGUGUGUUAGUGGAAGCGUCUGGAAAGGCG
rnacentral:rRNA from 1 species